CUACGGGGUGCUCCAGUGAGGAAUUUUGCGCAAUGGGGGAAACCCUGACGCAGCAACGCCGCGUGAGUGAAGAAGGCUUUCGGGUCGUAAAGCUCUGUCAGAUAGGAAAAAAGUUCAUAUGUAAAUAGCUUAUGAAUCUGAUGGUACUAUCAGAGGAAGCACCGGCUAAGUCCGUGCCAGCAGCCGCGGUAAUACGGAGGGUGCAAGCGUUGUUCGGAAUUACUGGGCGUAAAGGGCGUGUAGGCGGGAUGGUAAGUCAGAUGUGAAAGCCCUGGGCUUAACUCAGGAAGUGCAUUUGAUACUGCCAUCCUUGAGUAUGGGAGAGGAGAGGAGAAUUCCCAGUGUAGAGGUGAAAUUCGUAGAUAUUGGGAGGAAUACCCGUGGCGAAGGCGACUCUCUGGACCAAUACUGACGCUGAGACGCGAAAGCGUGGGGAGCAAACAGGAUUAGAUACCCCGGUAGUC
rnacentral:rRNA from 1 species